CCUACGGGUGGCAGCAGUCGAGAAUCAUUCACAAUGGGGGAAACCCUGAUGGUGCGACGCCGCGUGGGGGAAUGAAGGUCUUCGGAUUGUAAACCCCUGUCAUGUGGGAGCAAAUUAAAAAGAUAGUACCACAAGAGGAAGAGACGGCUAACUCUGUGCCAGCAGCCGCGGUACUACAGAGGUCUCAAGCGUUGUUCGGAAUCACUGGGCGUAAAGCGUGCGUAGGCUGUUUCGUAAGUCGUGUGUGAAAGGCGCGGGCUCAACCCGCGGACGGCACAUGAUAAUGCGAGACUAGAGUAAUGGAGGGGGAACCGGAAUUCGCGGUGUAGCAGUGAAAUGCGUAGAUAUCGAGAGGAACACUCGUGGCGAAGGCGGGUUCCUGGACAUUAACUGACGCUGAGGCACGAAGGCCAGGGGAGCGAAAGGGAUUAGAUACCCCUGUAGUC
rnacentral:rRNA from 1 species